GGAGGGUGCAAGCAUUAAUCGGAUUUAUUGGGUGUAAAGAGCGCGUAGGCGGUUAAGCAAGUCAGAUGUGAAAUUCCGAAGCUCAACUUCGGAGCUGCAUUUGAAACUACUUAUCUUGAGGAUGGACGGAGAAAACGGAAUUCCACGUGUAGCGGUGAAAUGCGUAGAUAUGUGGAAGAACACCUGUGGCGAAAGCGGUUUUUUAGUUUAUUCCUGACGCUGAGGCGCGAGAGCAAGGGUAGCAAACAGGAUUAGAUACCCUGGUAGUCCUUGCCGUAAACGAUGCAUACUUGGUGUAGCUGGACUCAACCCCGGCUGUGCCGUAGCUAACGUGUUAAGUAUGCCACCUGGGAGUACGCUCGCAAGGGUG
rnacentral:rRNA from 1 species